rnacentral:misc_RNA from 1 species
GGAAGGAUCAUUACCGAACAAACAAUUCAAAGUUCGCUGCUUCGCUUCGGCGACAGCGAAUCAGUCAGCCUGCGCAACUUGAACAUGAAUGGUUGCCGACAGGCAAAGCGACUAGCUUCUGUCUUUCACGAGGCAGAAGCCGCGCUCAGGCUUAGGCCAUAAAUUUUGAAAACAGGCUUCGGCCAAAAAUUUUGAAAACAAGCAAUAAAAUGAUUACAAAGACGAAUUUAAACCUCGAGUGGUGGAUCACUAGGCUCGUGGGUCGAUGAAGAACGCAGCUAACUGCGUGCAAUAGUGUGAACUGCAGGACACAUGAGCAUUGACAUUUUGAACGCAUAUUGCGGCCUGGAAUAAAUUCCAGGCCACGUCUGAUUGAGGGUCGGAUUUUUGACUUAAACAAAGUUUGCUCAAUCGGCUGGUCUAUUAAGACCAGUUCAGCAAAUGCAUCACAUGACGCUUGUCCGCGGCGGUGCCGAAGCAUGAAAUUUCAGCUCGAGGCGCGCAGCCACGAACGUUAAAGCGAUGUUUUGCAAGAGUUUCGACUCUUUGUUACGACCUCAAGGCAGGCGAGAUUACCCGCUAAAUUUAAGCAUAUUAAUAAGCGGAGGAAAAGAAACUAACAAGGAUUUCCUUAGUAACGGCGAGCGAAAAGGAAUAAGUCCAGUGCUGAAUCUGGCACCCUCCGGGUGUCAUGAAAUGUGGCAUUAAGGACGAUACAUUCCCUGCGUUUUGAGUCUUUCAAGUCCCUCUUGAACGGGGCCAUCUACCCAUAGAAGGUGCGAGGCCUGUCGAAAGACUGUUGUACGCAGUGUGUUUUGUCCAUAGAGUCGGGUUGCUUGGGAGUGCAGCCCAAAUCAGGUGGUAAACUCCAUCUAAGACUAAAUAUGACCACGAGACCGAUAGCGAACAAGUACCGUGAGGGAAAGUUGAAAAGAACUUUGAAGAGAGAGUUAAAUAGUACGUGAAACCUCUCGAGGGUAAGCGGGCAGAACUUGCAAGUAUUGGUGGGAGACUCAGGCUCGAAGACGAUUGGCGUGGGGACGAGGUUAGGUUGAGCUUCGGCGAGACCGACUCGUUCCUGCGAUUUGUUGUCGACGCGCAGCACUUCUCCUUACCAUCCGGGCUACGUGCAACUAAGCUGGCAUUUUAGGUGUUUGGUGUCUGCAAAAUCACUUUUGUGGUUUUGAGCCCGAAUUUCCGAAUGUUGCUGUGGUUGUUGUUGAACGCGGGCAGGCGUUUGCCGCGGUCAGAGCUUUGGACGAAUCGGGUACGCGUAAUGUGUGGACCUUGUGUAGCAUAUUUCGCGUACUAAUUGUCAGUUCGAGGUUUUCUGGCCCUGCCCAUCUAUCGUAGCCUAAAACCUGCGUGAUCUGCCUGUCCCGUCUUGAAACACGGACCAAGGAGUCUAACAUGUACGCGAGUCAUUGGGAAAUGAAACUCAAAGGCGUAAUGAAAGUGAAGAUUCGUGUAUACGAAUUGAGGAGAGAUCAAGGCAUGACUUGAAAUACUGAAAAGUUUGGCGAGUUGUAUGUAUGCGCAUCUCCUGGACGUCUAUACCUCCGAAGGUGGGGCGUACCUAGAGCGUACACGUUGGGACCCGAAAGAUGGUGAACUAUGCCUGGUCAGAACGAAGCCAGGGGAAACCCUGGUGGAGGUUCGUAGCGAUUCUGACGUGCAAAUCGAUCGUCGGAACUGGGUAUAGGGGCGAAAGACUAAUCGAACCAUCUAGUAGCUGGUUCCUUC